rnacentral:tRNA from 1 species
ACUGGCUUAGCUCAGUGGUCAGAGCGCAGGAUAUAAAAAGUGAAUCUUGUAUAAGAUUCUUACAGCAAUAUUUUUAGAGGAUAAAUAGGAGGAUCCUGAGAUGGUUGGUUCGAUUCCAACAGCCAGUA